UCCCAAGAUGCAAUUUUCCAAGAUUUAGCGGGUUCUGAUUGGUCAGUAUUGGCGCACUUUAUGAUUCCGAGCGAAGGUUAAAAUGGACAAGAAGGUGCUGAUGUAAAAUGGAGAAUUGAGAAGCAUUAAUAGCCUCUACAACAAGGAGAUAAUGCAGAAAGGAAGAAUUCAUGUCAAGCAUUGACAGCAAACAAAGUCAAUGUUUCCGGUGAUUAGUUGCAUCCUCUGUUCGGUGAUUCGGGUGAAUGUUUUGACCAGCUGGACGAUGUGAACGCAAGAUAAAUAGACAGACAUAAAGUACAGCCCAGUGAAAGGAACAAGUUCAUCGCAAGAGGAAGAAUUUUAAUGCUACCACUGUCCAGAACUACUAAGUCUGCUGUAGCCAUGAUGUGAUCAUAUGAGUGCUUCACCGGUCUGGACAAUGCUCGAAAGUCCCCCAAAAAGGCCUAUUUCCAUAAACUACGACUCGGGUUAUAUCAACAACAGCCAAGGACACUCCUUAUUGAUUCGAAUGGACACAUCUCUACGACCCGACUAAACCUCUGCAGAACAAGACUUUUUAACUGUAAAGUAUUCUCAUUUCAAAAAACUUUUAAACUAUAAAAGUACUUUUUUUAUAUGAUCAAAUACCAGUAUAUUACAAUGUCUGUCUGUAAGCUAGAAUCUUAGAAAAUCACAUGGUUUGACUUAUUAAAUGAUUGAUUAGACCUUGCAGAUAUUAACUUUCAUUUUCUUAAAUAAUUUGUUAUAUUUGCAAAUAUUGCAUAAAAUAUUAGACUCCAUGUAACAUAUAUCCUCACACCUCCAAGUUGAUAAGUGUUAACUACUUUUUUUUUCCAUUUUCUUUGUUUAAACAUUUAUUGAUAACUUAGUUUUUAUUUGCAGCAAUAUAUGAAAAAUUAAGAAACCAAUCUUAAAUGUAAAAACACUGCAUUAGGAGAUGAAUGCAUGGGUCAUAAAAAUGAUAAAAUACACCAAACAAUAUUCAAUUAUGUCGUAUAUGAAAAUAUAUAAAGACAACAUAUACCCCAUGUAUUACAAUUUUUAUAUAACAAAAUUACUUGAAUGGAAAGUUGUUUCCAUGUGGGUUUUAUUUCAAUCUGUGUUAUGUAACUAAUAUAUAAUUGGAAUUAGCUUUUAUAUCAUAAGUAAAAUGCUGGUAUUGAUGAGAAUUGUAAGGUGAAUGAUCUGUGUGAUACUUUGUAUUUUAUACAUUCAUGCUACAAAAAGCAAGUACAUGUACAUGUAGUAAUACUUGUCAUAUAUAAACAAUGUAUAUUUUACUUCAUGUCUUGGAUUUAAAAAUAUUAAUGUAGGUAAAGUAGUGAAAUGUAGGAAGGUAAACCGUGUGUAAAGAAGAAUAUUCAUCAGGAAUGAAGUGUGUUGCAAUCAGCAUAAUUAAUUAAAUGUGUACAUCAUAUUUUUGCACAUGAUUUGACAGACUGCUCCAUUGUUAGCUUUUUAUUGGCCAACAAGCUUUUCAUAUCUCCCUCUGGAUCAUCUAUUAAAUACUGACAGGCUUAUGAUAUUAAAAUCUGAUCAGUUGGUACAUCAUGGGUGGAAAUGAAAAGUUCACUUUGGACUUAAUGGAUUAUCAAAAAAAUGAUAUCAAAUCCUGUUCUAUUGUAAAACAUUAGAUUAUAUUACUAACAAAGAAAAGGUUUAUCCCAACUUGUAAGUGGGUCACUUUGACCUCAUUUUAGAAUUUAUUGACAUAUUCAAAUCAAAUCUGGGUCAUACCUCUAUAGUCAACUACUAUCUUGUAGUGUAUUUUUUUUUUAAAGAUGGAUACUUUAGACUUUUCAAAAAUAUUUUAUGGUGUACAUAUUCAUUGUAGUUCAAAACAAAUUGAGACAAGUGUACCAUGUUCAUGUAACAGUGAAGUUUUCUUUGUUUAUUCAUGUACGUGCAGUUAUUUUGUAAAUUGCAUUCAUAUUUUUAAAAAAAGUAAGAUCUUUGUUGCAUUUUUAAAGGGAGAUUUUAUAGGCAUUUAAUCGAGAUGAAAAAAAUACAAAUGUAAAGAUUUCUAUGGGAGUUUUUUUUCUUGUGCAGUUUUAUCAUUUUUUAAAUAAAAGUCCCUAAUAAGGGAAUUGCCAUAUGGAUGUUUCUCCAUUAUUGUAUCUUGGCUGUAUUUUAUUUAUUAUUGGAAACAAUUUCAGAUUUUUGAACAAAAUAAAUUUGGAACUGUUUGAAAUUGUUUUGUUUUUACAUAAAGUAGAAACCUUGCUCAGCUUUUGUGAAAGCAAAAAUAUAAAAAGUUUCAGUAAGUUUCAGUUGCGGAAACCCUUUGUAAACAAUAUGUUUCCCAAUUGUAUAUGGAGGUUGAAACUAUGCAGAAACUUCAAGUUUCAGUAAGUUUCCGUCGCGGAAACCAUUUGUAAACAAUAUGUAUCCCAAACGUAUAUGGAGAUUGAAACUAUGCAGAAACUUCAAGUUUCAGUAAGUUUCCGUUGCGGAAACCAUUUGGAUUCAUGGACAGCCUAAGUUUCAGCACUGCGGAAACUUAAUGAAACUUG